GCUUAACCUGGUUGAUCCUGCCAGUGGUCAUAUGCUUGUCUUAAAGAUUAAGCCAUGCAUGUCUAAGCAUAGCUGGCAACAGUGAAGCCGCGAAUAGCUCAUUACAACAGCCGUUGUUUCUUGGAUCUAUACUCUACUUGGAUAACUGUGGUAAUUCUAGAGCUAAUACAUGCAUCAAGACCUGACGCAAGGAUGGUCGCAUUUAUUUGAACAAAACCGACCGGUCUUCGGACCGUUCUUUGGUGACUCUGAAUAACUGAGCAAAUCACAUGGUCUCGCACCGGUGAUGUAUCUUUCAAGUGUCUGCCUUAUCAACUUUCGAUGGUAGUUUAUGUGCCUACCAUGGUUGUUACGGGUAACGGAGAAUCAGGGUUUGACUCCGGAGAGGGAGCCUGAGAAACGGCUACCACUUCUAAGGAAGGCAGCAGGCGCGCAAAUUACCCAUUCUCGGUACGAGGAGGUAGUGACGAAAAAUACCAAGUUGGGGCUCUUAUGAGUUUCGACAUUGGAAUGAGAACAAUCCAAAUCUUUUAACGAGGAACUAGUGGAGGGCAAGUCUGGUGCCAGCAGCCGCGGUAAUUCCAGCUCCGCAAGUGUAUAUCUAUAUUGCUGAGGUUAAAAAGCUCGUAGUUGGAUCUGCGUGUCUAGCACCUGGUGCGGUCUUUGAUCGCUACUGGGCUGCGACACAUUGUGUGUCGGUUGGCCGUUGAUGCUCUUAACCGGGUGUCAUCCGUGACUGACGAGUUUACUUUGAACAAACUAGAGUGCUCAACUCAGGCGUUUCGCUCGUAUAUUUCUGCAUGGAAUAAUAGAAUAGGACCUUUGGUUCUAUUUUGUUGGUUUUCGGAACUGAGGUAAUGAUUAAGAGGGACUGACGGGGGCAUUCGUACUGCGACGUGAGAGGUGAAAUUCUUGGAUCGUCGCAAGACGCACUACUGCGAAGGCAUUUGCCAAGAAUGUUUUCAUUAAUCAAGAACGAAAGUAACGGGUUCGAAGGCGAUCAGAUACCGCCCUAGUCGUUACCGUAAACUAUUGCGACGACGAGCAUGCACGUGUUUUUGAUGACCGUGUAUGAACGUAACCAGAAAUGCUAGUUUUUGGUGUCCUGGGGGAGUAUAGCUACGCAAGUCCGAAACUUAAAGGAAUUGACGGAAGGGCACCACCAGGGGUGGAGCCUGCGGCUUAAUUUGACUCAACACGGGGAAACUCACCCGGCCCGGACACCGGAAGGAUUGACAGAUUGAGAGCUCUUUCUUGAUUCGGUGGGUGGUGGUGCAUGGCCGUUCUUAGUUGGUGGAGUGAUUUGUCUGGUUAAUUCCGAUAACGAACGAGACUCUGGCCUACUAACUAGUGAGUGGAUCUUUGGUCUGCUCGACUUCUUAGAGGGACAAGCAGCGUUUAGCUGCAUGAAAAAGAGCAAUAACAGGUCUGUGAUGCCCUUAGAUGUCCGGGGCUGCACGCGCGCUACACUGAAGGAAUCAGCGUGUGGGACUGCCUGGCUUGAGAGAGUUGGGUAAUCCGGUGAAAAUCCUUCGUGAUUGGGAUCGGGACUUGCAAUUAUUUCCCUUGAACGAGGAAUCCCUAGUAAGUACGGGUCAUCAGCUCGUGCUGAUUACGUCCCUGCCCCUUGUACACACCGCCCAAGCC
rnacentral:rRNA from 1 species